rnacentral:misc_RNA from 1 species
UAACGCGAAGAACCUUACCAGGACUUGACAUCCCUCUGAAACUCCUGAUAACGAUGGAGCCUCCUUCGGGACAGAGGUGACAGGUGGUGCAUGGUUGUCGUCAGCUCGUGUCGUGAGAUGUUGGGUUAAGUCCAGCAACGAGCGCAACCCUUGCUGUUAGUUGCCAUCAUUAAGUUGGGCACUCUAACGGGACUGCCGGGGAUAACUCGGAGGAAGGUGGGGAUGACGUCAAAUCAUCAUGCCCCUUAUGUUCUGGGCUACACACGUGCUACAAUGGUCGGUACAAAGAGCAGCAAGACCGUGAGGUGGAGCAAAUCUCAAAAACCGAUCCCAGUUCGGAUUGUAGGCUGCAACUCGCCUACAUGAAGUUGGAGUUGCUAGUAAUCGCGGAUCAGAAUGCCGCGGUGAAUGCGUUCCCGGGUCUUGUACACACCGA